rnacentral:rRNA from 1 species
UCCGUAGGUGAACCUGCGGAGGGAUCAUUACAGAGUUCGUGCCCUCACGGGUAGAUCUCCCACCCUAUGUUAUUAUUACUAUGUUGCUUUGGCGGGACGUCGAGGUUCGCCUCUCCACCGGCUUUGGCUGGUGUGUGCCCGCCAGGGGACCCUAAACCCUGAAUAUUAGUGUCGUCUGAGUACUAUAUAAUAGUUAAAACUUUCAACAACGGAUCUCUUGGUUCUGGCAUCGAUGAAGAACGCAGCGAAAUGCGAUAAGUAAUGUGAAUUGCAGAAUUCAGUGAAUCAUCGAAUCUUUGAACGCACAUUGCGCCCCGUGGUAUUCCGCGGGGCAUGCCUGUUCGAGCGUCAUUUCAACCCAUCAAGCUUCGGCUUGGACUUGGGGCCUGCGGUUUCGCAGCCUCUAAACCCAGUGGCGGUGCUAUUGAGCUCUGAGCGUAGUAAUUUUUCUCGCUAUAGGGUCUCGGUAGUUACUUGCCAGUAACCCCCAAUUUUUAUCAGGUUGACCUCGGAUCAGGUAGGGAUACCCGCUGAACUUAAGCAUAUCAAUAAGCGGAGGAAAAGAAACCAACC